rnacentral:rRNA from 1 species
UACAGAGGGUGCGAGCGUUGUUCGGAAUUACUGGGCGUAAAGCGCGCGCAGGCGGCCCUUUAAGUCUACCCGUGAAAUGCCGGAGCUCAACUCCGCGCACGCCGGGGGAUACUGGGGGCUGGAGACAUGUGAGAGGCAAGCGGAAUUCCGGGUGUAGCGGUGGAAUGCGUAGAUAGUCCGGAAGAACACCGGUGGCGAAGGCGGCAUCCUGGACCAACACUGACGCUGAGUGGAGCGAAAGCCAGGGGAGCAAACGGGG